rnacentral:rRNA from 1 species
CCUACGGGAGGCAGCAGUAAGGAAUAUUGGUCAAUGGGCGGAAGCCUGAACCAGCCACGCCGCGUGCAGGAAGAAGGCCCUACGGGUUGUAAACUGCUUUUAUACGGGAAGAACCGCCCUCCUGCGGGGGGGUAUGACGGUACCGUAGGAAUAAGCAUCGGCUAACUCCGUGCCAGCAGCCGCGGUAAUACGGAGGAUGCAAGCGUUAUCCGGAUUCAUUGGGUUUAAAGGGUGCGUAGGUGGGUCCAUAAGUCAGUGGUGAAAUCCGGCAGCUCAACUGUCGCACUGCCUCUGAUACUGUGGGUCUUGAGUUAAGUUGAAGCAGGCGGAAUAUGACAUGUAGCGGUGAAAUGCAUAGAUAUGUCAUAGAACACCGAUAGCGAAGGCAGCCUGCUAAACUUACACUGACACUGAUGCACGAAAGCGUGGGUAGCGAACAGGAUUAGAUACCCUGGUAGUCCACGCCGUAAACGAUGAUCACUCGCUGCAUGCGAUAUAAUGUAUGUGGCCAAGCGAAAGCGUUAAGUGAUCCACCUGGGGAAUACGAUCGCAAGGUUGAAACUCAAAGGAAUUGACGG